rnacentral:lncRNA from 1 species
UUUCACCCUCAGCUGCCACUAUAUGUAAUGCUAAAAUUGAAAGAAAAAAAUUGUUUUCGAAGUUUGUCCAGAAAAAAAAAUCCAUAGCCUCCCCCCAGAAAAUCAAAUGGUUGCUGCCUAAAUAACUUAUAAAUCAUUAUUUAUAUAUUGAAAAUAUAUUGAACGUUGUUUUCAUCUGAACUUUAAGAUGUCAACAACUAUCAUCAGACAACAGACCAGUCCAAAAAUGACAGCAACAAGAACGACACCGAGGACAAGAACGACAAGAAUGACAACGAGACAAGCUACCUCUGAUAUUUGCACAGAAGUUGUAAAAAAAAAAGUAAGAUAUUUCAGUGAGAAAAAAAGAAAGCUAAAAACGAAUGCCA